CAGGGACUCCAGGGGCCCAGGCCCUAUCCUUCUGAUCUGAGAAGUGAGGGUGUCCAUAUCUCAUGGGCCCUGGGGCUCUUGAAAAUCAGGAGCCUUGCAGUAAAAACCAGCAGCCUAACAGCCAUCUGAGAGGACAGACAGGAACACAGAAGAAAACAAUCAGAGCAAAGCUAUAGGAAGCAGAAAAAAACCACAAAGGGAAAACACAUAGAAAAAAAUGGAGAGAAAAAAGAAUAUGUGCAAGAAAUUAGAUGAAGAAAAAGCAGAUAAUCCAGGAAUAUGUAGAUUUAAAAGUAUGAGAAGGAAGAUAAGAAGCCAGAGAGAGGAAGAGAAAUGGAGAGAGGUGAGGGGAGAAAAACGGUAAGGAAAAAAAGAAAACACAAAGAAAAGAUUUUUUUAUUUUUGGUUUAUCGAAUUUUCCUUCCCAGUAAAUGUUCCAGGAUGCCACAGUUAAUGAUGGCCACCUCUGUAAGUUAAUUUGCACUCAUGACUGGAAUUACCCAGGGGAAAGAAAAGGUGGAUUGACUCCAGGAUAAAGAACAAUGAAGAAUGUGAGAAAGAAAUGAACCAUAGGAGCUCAGUAACAAUCUUCUCCCUGAGAUUGGAAAUGAUCUACAUGUGGAAAAAUGUUGUUCCGUAACAACUCAGCCACACCUCCAGUCUUCCAAGCCACAGGUCUGAUCCCAUUCACUAACGCUUUCAAUUGCAGAAAUCUUUAAUGUGAGCUUUUGUGAAUUAUCUGGGACGGAGGACAAAGGGUCUAUGUGCUUUUCACCUGAGCCAACUGGAGAAAAGACAAAAGAAGAUAAUCCUUCUACAUUCCAGAUGGUAAUGUGGUCAGCACAGGCUCUGAAGAGAGAAAUAUUCUGGGGUUUGACUCUUGGACCAUUUAUAAGACCCUGGACUUUGGAUAGUUACACAGCCCCAGUUUCUUCUCUUUAAAAGAGGGACAGUGAUGGGUUCUACCUCCUGACAGUUGGUUUCAUUAAAUGAGAUAAUUGAUUAAAUGAGAUAAUGUAAAGUGCUUAGCAUAAUUCCCGGCUAUAGUAAGUGCUCG